rnacentral:rRNA from 1 species
UACAGAGACCUCAAGCGUUAUCCGGAAUCAUUGGGCGUAAAGCGUGCCGAUAGGUGGUUUAUUUAGUCUUGGGUAAAAGCCAGAAGCUCAACUUCUGAGUUUGCUUAAGAUACUGAUAGACUAGAGGGGCAAAGAGGUGCUUGGAACGAAUGGUGUAGUAGUGAAAAUGCGUUGAUAUCAUUCGGAACACCGAAAGCGAAGGCAGAGCGCUGGGUGCCACCUGACACUGCUAGGACGAAAAGCGUGGGGUAGCGAAUGGG